rnacentral:rRNA from 1 species
UGAGGGAAAAACCUUAAACGGGCGCGAUAACACGUGCAAAGGUAGCGCAAUCACUUGUCUUCCAAAUAAAGACCAUGUAUGAAUGGCAACAUGAGAAAGAAACUGUCUCUUGAUGACAACCAAUGAAACUGAUCUACCUGUACAAAAGCAGGAAUAUUAUAACAAGACAAAAAGACCCUGUGAAACUUUAAAUUCUAUAUCAAACACAUGAUACUACUUUUUAGUUGGGGCAACUAUAGAGAAACAAAACCUCUACAAAGACACUAGACCAACUAGUCUAGUGGAACCUCUACCAGACCCAGUACUACUGACCAAUGAACCAAGCUACUCCAGGGAUAACAGCGCCACAUUCUUGAAGAGUUCUUAUCGACAAGAAUAUCUACGACCUCGAUGUUGGAUCAGGGUACCCCAACGGCGAAGAAGCUGUUAAAGGCUCGUUUGUUCAACGACUAACAUCCUACGC